ensembl:lncRNA
AAAAAGCACAAUAUGGGCUCUUUAACGCAUCUUAUUAUUUAAAAAAAACAAAAAAAAAAAAAACUUAUUUCUCUAAAAAUGGUAAUAGAUCAGUUACAAUGUACUAAUUCAGUGCAGAUAGCCUUUUGUGAUAUGCAGCGUUCUUGUAAAUUUGGGGCUAUAAAUGGUGUGAAAUAAGGAGGAAAAAAUGCAGCUCUGACUUUCAACCUGAUAAGAGCUGCUAUUUCCAAUCUGCUAGAUAAGGAUAAUCUUAUUUUGCACAUUUUCUAAACUGAUGCCAUACACAUUUUAUGAAAACUUUCAAGCAACAGUAGCUAAGGGGUCUUAAACUUAAUGUACUUGCAAAAAAAUGAUGCAGUUCUUUGAGAAGGACGUAGGAAAGGGGGAUACUUGUGUUUUUUUUAUGUGUUCUUUUCUUUUAUUGUUUUAGUUAUUUAAAGACAGAAGUAAAAAUGGUUCUGCAGACUUACCGAUGACUGAUAGUCGAUAAAAAAACAAACAAAUCAAAAUCAGUGUAAGAGUUCACAGCACUAAAGUGCAACAAAGCUUUUUGUUAAAUUCCUCUAAUAUGUCAAGCAACUCCUAGUUGCCCCUUUUCCAGAUUUUCACUUGUGAUUAACUAAACGUCCUGCUACAACUUUCUAAAACCAAAAUGCCUUCGGUUUAGCCUUGUGUAAUUUGGUCCUUGGUUGCUGUCAAGACUGUGUAAAAUGAUCCUGAAUUCUGCUUGUUGGAUUUAUUUUCUGGCGAAGUGACUUUGAUAAAGGCUCUAUAUUUUUCUACAGCUCUUCAUCAUGUCGGGAUACACAUAUAUCUGUGUAUUUACAGUUUUUUUUACAUGACUCUUUAUUUUAUAUGAAAGGCCGUCUGGACAGAAUGACAUCUUCCGACUCUGAUGUGACAACAUGGAUCUUUAGGCUUUCCGUUGCAGUAUUACACGUCCUCCAGACCUCGCUCAGCUCCCAGUAGGUGUAGAGUGAACCUUUGAAGAGAGCCUAUUGCUAUCCUUGAUUUUUAUACAGACUUUAUAUGCAAAAUGGCUGCCGAAGCGAUUUCUUUAAAUCCCCGCUGUAUGGACUUGAACUGUGCAGUUGAGUCAUUGCUGACCUCAAGACGUUUGUACUCGAGAGACACAUUGAAAGGAACAUUUUCCUCUUUCAUUCAUAUGAACUGAAGGGCCAGUGUCGCUGUGAGUGUCAGUGUGUGUACAAAUUUUCUGUUUGUGUUUUGCACUUGAAAAGAGGAACGUUGUUACUGUGCGUAUGAUAACCUCUUGGGAACAUUGUAUAUCUGUGCAUUGGUUAAUUGUGGGAACUUAAUUCUUCUCGUUUGUAUUUUAUUGCUCAUUUUUAAACAUUGUUAUUUCCUGUAACCAAAUACUGAAUUUAAGGAUAUUGAUUCAUAGGAACGAUGAGGUAACUCAAGAAAAAAGCAGACCACCUCCCUCCUUCCUGACGGGGGUAAGAACUCUUCAGGUACGACUAUCAUAGUAAUGCUGUGCUGUUUCGACUUCCCGCCUCCUCCAGAGACCCAGAAACUCAUGUUACCUAACCUGUGAUGCUCUUCUGUCGCCUCCUUCCCUUUUCAUAAUGGAUUGUUUCUCUUAACCAAAUGUAAUAUUUUCAUAUUGUAAUAACUUGUCCUUGUAUUUAGACGACAUUUUUACCUUCAUGUACGACUAUACUCUUCAUAAUUCUUUGAGGUGCACUGUGACAAAUACAAUGCUGCUAUAUCACAAAGACUUUUAUUCUGUACGUCACAUUUAGCGGAUGCUGAACGCUAAAGGUGGCUGAUACAAAGUGGGCCUGAACAUAGAGGCCCCACUUACGUCAUUUGAAUUCAAUCCAGGCUUCAUUGUGCUUCCUCGGUGCGGUGUAUUAAUCUCAGAGUGACUUUGUGCACAAACGUAGGAUCUGUAGCUGUUCCUGUUGGUCUUCCUUUACAAGCAUGAUAGAAGGGAAAGAGAGAGUAGCAGUCAAGUCUUUCUAAAAGCCCAUCUCGCUUCUCACUGUGGUUAAAUAAAACUGUGACGUUGCUUUUUCUUUUUUCAGUUUUUUUUUUUUUGCAAAGGUGUUCAUUUUCACAGAAAUCUUGCCUAGGUUCAAUGAUACACUGAAUAUAGUUGUGUUAUUUAAAAAAAAAGUCCAAACAGACAGUGUAACUAUUUGACACUUUUGGUCAUCAGAGACUCUGUCGUAAUCUCAGCAUUUGUCAGAAAAAUAUGAGAAGCAGAACAUUUAAAAUUGCAAAACUGCUAGAUGCAUAUUUGUAUCACAUGCCGCAAAGUGCAGGUGGACAGUAAGUAGUGUGGUGCUGGUAUGUGCAGCAUUUUUAAAUUUAUGUUUUCAAAUCAAAUGUUCAUGAAGGGGACAGAAAUCACAGAUUUAAACACAGAUCAAAAAACAGCUUUUUAACCCUGCUGCUAGCUUGGAUCUCAGGAUGGCAAUCGAUGGUUUUCCACUGCGGGAGCAAACUGGUGCAAAUGUUUACAAGAAUGGUCCUGAUUGUCUCUUUCUGCAUUUGUGUUUCCAUUGUGGUGAAGAAUCCAACAGCUCUGACUGCAACAUUAACUUGGAGUACACGCAAAUAGUGACAAAUAGUAGUUACUGGGUGUAACUGUAGUUCUAUGUAGAACAAUGGCGAAUUUGUGAUGUUAGUCUAUUUGAUGACUUUAACGCACUUGCCAUUGCCAUCAAUAUUAAAGAAAAGACUGCAAUUCUUUAAGGAUAUAUAGAGAGUAGAAAAAUGGUGCUUGUAGUCUUCUUUAGUGUAACCAAUCAGUGUCAAGAUGCACAACAGUUUUCCAGAGCUGCUCAAAAGUGCCAACCCUGAAGGAGGUACUUUUAUCUGCCCCAAAAACAGCCCUGAAAGAGCUUCUAUGUGGGUGUUUUCUGUGGUUGUAACGCACAAAGAUUCAGGUUGCCUUUAAACAGCAUGCAAGUUCCUGCAGUGGAAAACAGCCUAAUGUUGUUCCCCAGAGGAUGAACUGUAACAAUCUUUGAUGAUCCCCGACUUUUCAUUUAGUACUACUUUGAAGUUGCCAUUUGUUACUCCAACAAAGUAUCUUGACAGCUGCUAUUGAGUUAUUUGCCAUUAAAUUUGGUACAGAUGGUCCAGGUCCCAUACAGAAAAAAAUUAUUGACUUUUCUCUGACUUUUUCUCCAGCACCGCCAGUAGCUGAAACCACUUAUUGAGUAAUAUAUCUCAACACCUCCGGGAUGAAUUACUAUAAAAUUUGUUACAGUUAGGAUCUGCUGUAACACAAUUUAAGCAAAUUUCUGUUUAAGUUCACAAUUUGAAUGCAUAAACCUCAGCAUGCUGCCAUUAUCACUGUGGACAUGUGAAGAUGCUGACAUUAGCAUUUAGCUCAUAGCAAAUGCUUCCGCUGCUAAGAGGUCUGAGGACACUAAGUCUUGUUUUAGACAUGCAAACACCCACAAAUGUUAAAAAAAAAAACAAAAAACUAAAAACUGCAAAAACAGAGCUACAGUUAGUCUCUGAUAAAUAAACUGUACUGUCCAUAUUAACUUUAGUGUCCAAAUCUGCAUGUUUCAGUUACAAGAUUUUAAUUGAUUUAAGCUCCAUGACGUAAAACUAUUUAUGAUAGUUGUUUUUUAACCAGUUAAGCUGGCAAAAAUGUGUCCAAGGUACUUCAUUAGUGUGAAUGGCAUUUAUAGAAAUAGUCUGACCUCACUAUGAUCUGUAUAGAAUAUUAAAGCAGUAUUAUUGUCAUUAUCGACUAAUCUGCAGGUACUUUUCAAGGUUAAACAAUUGUCUGGUGAAUUAAAUGUAAAAAAAAAUUAACAAAAAUGAAAAAAUCUGAUAACUAUUUAGAAUCCAAAGUAAUGUCUUUAAAUGUGUUUGUUUAUCUGAUCAAAGUCCAAAACACAAAUGUAUUUGGGUUCAUUAGUAUAAAUGACAAAAAUAAGCAGCAAAUCCUGACAUUUACAAAAGUAGAAUCUAAAAAACGUAGAAUUAUUCACUUUUUUUAACCUGAAAAAUAACUAAAAUUGAUGAGACAUCAAAAUACUUGCUGAUUGCAAACAGCUUCAGCGCUAUACAGUACGUAUAAGUGAUCUCAUGAAGUUAGAAUUCUAGAGAACGGAUUCAUUAGCUGCCUUUCGCCUUGCAUACUGUGUUUUCUUUUGAGGUAAACUGCCUGAGGCUUACGGAAACUCGCGUUUAGAAUAUGUUUGGACCUAUUUUAAUUUGCAUCCUUAUACAACAAAAUAUAUUCAUAGCAUACAUGUGCUUUUUAUUAACUUCGAGAAUCUUCAGUAGAUCUCAGAAAUAGUCCAAAAAAAUGCAUCUAUGAAUCAUAGUGUAGCACAAAAUAAUAUGCAAAAAGUCAAGUGGAAUUAUACUGAAAUACACUUCAGAGAAUCUAUAGGUAGCAAGUCAGCCAGUGUCAAGAUUAUCUCCGAUGUACACAGGCCUUUCACACAUCCCCAGAGAGGAAUGAAGCUCAGAGGUUUGAGGUUUAGAAAGGUACAAAACGUGCUGACAUGCAAAUGUAAAUAUGGACGUAAAGAACAAGAGAAGUGAUCUUUGUUUGAGACGUGACUAUAUCUUGUUAGCAUGACGUCAAACUCCCAUCCAGGCAGAACAGUUUUGCCGUAAAUAGGCGCACUAGCUGCAUAAAGAGGCUCAUAAAACAAUGUGUUUCAUAGAAGUGCUCUCUGGACAGUAGCUGCUGAUGAGCUCAGUUCAUGCAUUCGCUUCCAUUUCUGCCAUGUUUGAUUAGCAGCAGCUCUGAUUAAACUGAUUCCUGUGUUGGUGACAUGACUGAAGAUUUCCCAUCAAGUGAUUUAACUGCUGUCCUGUCUCUUUUGUUGGUUAUAGCUGAAUAUGAUAAUGUUACCAUUAUAGCAUCCUAAAGUGUGCAGUACAAAACCUGAUGGCUGGAUUGUGAAGUUGUUCUUCAUGUUAAUUUCUAGUAAACACACUGGAACUGGCUCUUUUAAUAAAAAAAAAACAAAAAAAAAACAUUGAGAAGUAAAA